rnacentral:rRNA from 1 species
UACGUAGGGUGCAAGCGUUGUCCGGAAUUAUUGGGCGUAAAGCGCGCGUAGGCGGUUUGUUAAGUGGGAUGUGAAAUCCCCCGGGCUUAACCUGGGAAUUGCAUUUCAAACUGGCCGACUAGAGUACGGUAGAGGGAGGUAGAAUUUCCUGUGUAGCGGUGAAAUGCGUAGAUAUAGGAAGGAUACCAGUGGCGAAGGCGGCCUCCUGGAUCGAUACUGACGCUGAGGCGCGAAAGCGUGGGGAGCAAACAGG